rnacentral:rRNA from 1 species
UACGAAGGGGGCUAGCGUUGCUCGGAAUUACUGGGCGUAAAGCGCACGUAGGCGGUCUUUUAAGUCGGGGGUGAAAUCCUGGAGCUCAACUCCAGAACUGCCUUUGAUACUGAGGAUCUUGAGUACGGGAGAGGUGAGUGGAACUGCGAGUGUAGAGGUGAAAUUCGUAGAUAUUCGCAAGAGCACCAGUGGCGAAGGCGGCUCACUGGCCCGUUACUGACGCUGAGGCACGAAAGCGUGGGGAGCAAACAGG